UGGGGAAUAUUGGACAAUGGGGGGAACCCUGAUCCAGCCAUGCCGCGUGUGUGAAGAAGGCCUUAUGGUUGUAAAGCUCUUUAAGCGAGGAGGAGGGUACUGGUAUUAAUACUACCAGGUACUGGACGUUACUCGCAGAAUAAGCACCGGCUAACUCUGUGCCAGCAGCCGCGGUAAUACAGAGGGUGCGAGCGUUAAUCGGAUUUACUGGGCGUAAAGCGUGCGUAGGCGGCUAAUUGAGUCGGAUGUGAAAUCCCCGAGCUUAACUUGGGAAGUGCAUUCGAUACUGGUUAGCUAGAGUAGGGCAGAGGGUGGUGGAAUUUCCUGUGUAGCGGGGAAAUGCGUAGAUAUAGGAAGGAACACCAGUGGCGAAGGCGACCACCUGGGCUCAUACUGACACUGAGGUGCGAAAGCGUGGGGAGCAAACAGG
rnacentral:rRNA from 1 species